rnacentral:tRNA from 1 species
GGGCCCAUAGCUCAGCGGUUAGAGCGGCCGGCUCAUAACCGGUUGGUCCCUGGUUCGAAUCCGGGUGGGCCCA